UGGGCAACCUGCCCCUCUCUCUGGGAUAACCCCGGGAAACCGGAGCUAAUACCGGAUACUCCGGCUGGAUCGCAUGGUCCGGCCGGGAAAGGUCCGCCGGAGAGGGAUGGGCCCGCGGCCUAUCAGCUUGUUGGUGGGGUCAUGGUUCACCAAGGCGACGACGGGUAGCUGGUCUGAGAGGACGACCAGCCACACUGGAACUGAGAUACGGUCCAGACUCCUACGGGAGCA
rnacentral:rRNA from 1 species